UAGAAAUCAGACGUUGUUUUGCUACUAUAAAAUACAACUUCAAACUUGACCAAUAACAGAAGCUAACUAAGAGGUAACCUUGCUUUCAACUUUCAGGGAAAGCCCAACACAAUGUCACUGAACUUAAUCAACAACAUUCAUUUAAUUCCAGUAUAAUUUUUGUCACAGUAAGCAGACCAGAGAUCGGAAAUCAUAGUUAUGGCUUCACGAGAUGAUUAAGUGGUUCCUGCCACUGAUGUUUUGACUAACCUAUGGUAUUUUCUAUUAGUUUUCUGCUUUUGAGCAAAUUAAUGAGCUAGUACCUGUUACUUAGCUGGAAAAACAGAAGUUAAUAAAAUGUAUAAGGUAUAUCUACAUGCAUAAAAAAGAAGUGAACAAGAAAAGAGAAAGAUUACAGGAAAAGGAUUCCAACCAUGUAAAUCCAAUUUGGAGUUUUACAUAUUUGGUAGAGUCUUCUUUUUUUAGUUCUUCCCAAGAAAGCAGGGAAAAUUUACUGGAGAUACAGAUAGAAAAAAGACAAUAUGCUCUGUGUUUUGCGGUUUGUCAUAUGUGAAAUUUUAAUAAACCAUCUGAGUCUAUGCAUUUCAGUAUUUCCUUCAUGCAUAGGUUAUAACAAUUAAUGAAUCCCUCAUCCUCUCUUCGUGGCUAUGAUUUUCUAUUGUAGUUGUCUCACAAAGAAUUUCAUGGCCACAAUUUAAAGGUGAAUUACCAAAUUUCAUAAGGCACUCUUCUUCUUUUUCUUUUAAUGCACUCUUCUUCUUUUUCUUUUCAAGGUGCUUAAUCUCAAUAUUUUUAUUUGAAAUUGUUCUCAUGAGAAUUAGUUUUGGAAUGUCUUUGAAAAAAUUAACUAUUAUGUAUACCUAUUGAAAACUAUGUGGCUGCCAAAAGUGAUAAAAAAAUAAUAGGGCUAAUAUGUAUUCAUUCGUGUUUAGUUAAUCAACCUAGGAAAAAAGAGAGUAAAAAAAAAAAAAAAAAACUAAACCCCCACUUGAAUUAAAGCAGCACUAUGAAAAGGAUAGAUCUUCUUGUUCGGAUUUCCUAACUGGUCGUUAUGAAACGACUGUCUCCCUACGGCGAAAGAUGGAAAGAUCUACCUUAAAUAAUGGAUGUUGGUUAGAUUGUGAGUAGGCAAAUUGUUCGAGGUAGUCAGCUCUCUUGUUGAUUAAGCUUUGCAGGUAGCAAUAACUGCUGUUGAUUACCAUUUGUAUUCAUACGUGCCUACUAGCUCUACUCUUUGGAGUAGUCUUCUGUUAUUUGAGUGCCUUACGAGCUUGAUUUAAGGAUAUUUUGUAUGUUUGACUGCAAGUCAUGCUUCUAUGUUCUGAUGUUUCAAUUUGUAAUUUGCUUCUACAGCAAGUAGUUAGCCCCAUGUGAGUGACUAAGGUUGUGAAUUCGAUUCAUCUUAGCUAAACUUUAGGACAAGAUUCUAAUCACAACUGGAUUAGCUUAUUUUACUUGUGCAAUUGUCUUUCCUAUUCAAUCAAACUUCCAGUUUUCUUUUAUAUGUCCCCUCCAACAUUGUGGUACUAUUAUGGAUUUAUCUAGUGUUCUCUAUGAAACAGGGCGCUUUCUGUGGUGUGGACUACGCCAUUAGUCGCGACACUUGGCAUGUCCUUGACAAUCCCCUUGGGAAUGCUGGCUGACAUGCUUAUCCAUGGCCGUCACUACUCUGCAAUCUACAUCCUUGGAUGCGUCCAGGUGUUUGCAGGUUUUGUCAUUGCUAACCUCUCUGAUAAGUUUGGGGGUAACAGAAGAUGAAGUGCUUUACCAACUACAUGACCUUAACCUUUUGACAACGCUGGAAGAAAGUUAAUUUUUCCUAUACAGAAUAUUAUCUAUGUGUUAAUAUGAUUAGGUGAUAGAACUAUAUUCCCAUAUUUUUUGUGGUCAGUAUGUAAAGUGUGUGAGGGCUGCAAUGUUAUGCAUGCCUCUUUCUUCAACAUCCUAUUGCCUAGUGUUAAUUAAGGUGUAAUCUUGGAUACUUGUUUUAGUAUUCUGGAACAAUGUUUGGUCCUUAGUCCUUUUCUGAUGGAAAGCUGCAAAUGUGAAGUAAAUCCUCUAGCUUAUUACCAGCAA